rnacentral:ncRNA from 1 species
GUGGGCUUGCCCACAAAUAUCAGCCUUGAUAUGUCCAGGUGGACGCUGCUUGCAUGGGUGCCGGACUGCGUUAGGUGCUUUCAUACCUGUAGACAUUAUGUGGCAUAGUACGCAAAACGCCGAAAGUGAGAUUAUAUAUCUAUCAUUCGGGGUAUGCCAUACAAGGCGUUUUUUAA